rnacentral:tRNA from 1 species
GGAGAGGUGGCCGAGUGGUUUAAGGCAGCGGUCUUGAAAACCGCCGUGGCAGCGAUGUCACCCAGGGUUCGAAUCCCUGUCUCUCCGCCA